ensembl:rRNA 5S_rRNA 5S ribosomal RNA
GUCUACGGCCAUACCACCCUGAAAGUGCCCGAUCUCAUCUGAUCUCAGAAGCUAAGCAGGGUCGGGCCUGGUUAGUACUUGGAUGGGAGAAAACACACUUUAAAAAUGUGGAUCAUGUGUGUA